GGCGCGGGGCGUAUCGGGGCGCGCGGGAGGACGGCAUAAGCGAUAUUGGGUUUUAUUAAGUAUGAAUGCAGCGUCUGACAGCAAACACCGUAUUUCCCGCGCGCCGCUCGCUUGUCCCACAUUCACGAACAUUACAACAAAUGCAAAUAGUGACACAAUUAACUUAUUGAUUCAAGGUUAAAAUUGGACAGAACAAUAUCAGGUUAGGGAUUUAAAAGUUACAUACAAGCAAAGGAGGAUAGACGGUUACAGUAAAAAACGGGCGGUUAAAACAGUGGAAGUGUACGAGGAAGCCAAGGUCAAGGGAUGAGUUCCCCAAGCGCUGACCAGACCUAGCCUAUUGCUUUCGUGCCGCAAACAGACAGGUUACGAAGAGGAGGAGGCAGGUCAUUCCAGCACCUAGUGGCGCAGAACCUAAAGCUUCCUCGGAAACUCACCGUUCUAUGUAUUGGCAUUCUAAGUUUUAUCAAUGACGCUCUAGUGACAUGCUCACUAUCAUUAUUUCCUAACCACUGUAAUUUAUGAUAGAGGUAAGGUGGAACCUGGUAUUUUAUAGUGCCAAAAAGUAACGUAGCGAAAUGUAAUUGCAUACGAUAAUUCAUUUUUAAGAUGUUAGCAUUAUUUAAAUAUGGUGUGAUAUGUGUACGUGGCGGUAUUUUAAAGCAGUAGAGAGUGCAGGCGUUCUGGACUCGUUGGAUGAUUUUUUUGUACGUUCAAGUAAACGGGGCCCUAUAACUACAUCUGCAUAAUUAAAUUUAGAAAGAACUAACGCCUCACAAAGUCUAAUGCGUACUUUGGUAGAAAUGGAGUCUCUAAUAUUAUAAAGAAUUUUUAACCUAUAAAAACAGUUUUUGGCAAUAUUAUUUACAUGCUUUUCAAAACGAAGUUCCUCGUCAAAUAGAACACCUAGGUUGCGCGCUUCAGUCACCCUUUGUAUACGUACACCUUUUAUAUCAAUAUUUGGAUCACAAUUACUAAUAAUUUGAAUUUGCCGCUCUGUACCAAGUAUCAUGUAUUUAGUUUUGUUAGGGUUCAUUUCUAGCGUGUUUGAAAUUGACCAACGGGCUAUACGAUCCAAAUCUUGGUUGAGUUGUUGCAAAGCUGCUUGUACCUUACAUGGCUUAAAAGAAAUAUACAACUGCAGAUCAUCAGCAUACAAGUGAUAGUUGCAGUGAUUAAUUUGUUUUACAAUAUCAGUUGUAUAAAUCGUAAAUAAAAUUGGUCCUAAAAUAGAGCCUUGUGGUACUCCUCUAGUUACAUGCCUUAUGUCAGAUUUAGCAACACUCCCAUCUUCUGACUUAAUCUCUACGUAUUGGCUGCGGCAACUCAUAUAACUCGCAAACCAUUGUACAGUUUUGUCGUCGAACCCAUAAUAUGACAGCUUUGAUAUCAACAAUGGAAUGUUUAUGGUGUCAAACGCACGAGAGUAGUCUAGGAGUACUAGUAUAGUACCCUCGCCCCUGUCUCGAGCAGAUAGGAUAUCAUCGACAACGUCUGCUAAAGCAGUCGUAGUCCCUCGAUUUUUCCUAAAUCCUGAUUGUUUAUCUGGCAAAAUUUUAUUUAACUCCAAAAAGUCUCUUAGUUGAUUGCAUACAACUUUUUCAAGAAUCUUGGACAAACAUGAUAGAAUGCUUAUUGGACGUAAAUCUUUAAAUUCUAAGGGCGUGUCGAUCUUAGGUAUAGGUCUUACAAUAGCUUUGCACCAAAGAUCUGGGAAUUUGGAUGUUAAUAUGGAGGAGUUGACGAUUGCAGUAAUUACCUUUAUUGUGUAUUGCAGGGUUGGUAAUAUCAUGUCCAGAGAGAUCCCAUCUGCCCCGAUUGCAUUAGAAGUUAAUGUUUUAAUAAUUUUAAAAAUUUCGGAUUCUGUAACUGUUUUCAAGUAAAAGCUUGCGUCACUAAAUUUAU